rnacentral:misc_RNA from 1 species
GUGAAUCAUCAAAUCUUUGAACGCAAAUUGCACUCUCUUCGGAGAGUAUGCCUGUUUGAGGGUCAGUAUUAAUAAAAAUCGGUGUGUUGCUUCUUUGUGACGCUCCGGAGUUUGGGUCAUCUUAAUAUCCUUUAGGUUUUAAGAGGCUUAAAAUUGACUUUUUUUGCGCAUUUUAGAUGUACAUAAAUUCUUUUUUUAUUCGGUUGGCUUAAUUCCUAAAAAUCCAUUAAGUGC